rnacentral:rRNA from 1 species
GAUGAACGCUGGCGGCGUGCCUCAAACAUGCAAGUCGAGCGGGGCUAUGUAAUAUCGCAAGGUAGAACAUAGCCUAGCGGCGAACGGGUGAGUAACACGUGGGUAACCUGCCUGGAAGACAGGGAUAACGAUUCGAAAGGGUCGCUAAUACCUGAUAAUAUCCUUUCAUCGCAUGGUGAUAGGAAGAAAGGGGAAACCCGCUUUCAGAUGGGCCCGCGUCCCAUCAGCUAGUUGGUAAGGUAAAGGCUUACCAAGGCGACGACGGGUAGCCGGUCUGAGAGGAUGUACGGCCACACUGGGACUGAGAUACGGCCCAGACUCCUACGGGAGGCAGCAGUUGGGAAUCUUAGGCAAUGGACGAAAGUCUGACCUAGCGACGCCGCGUGAGGGAAGAAGGGCCUUCGGGUUGUAAACCUCUGUCAUGGGGAAGAAGUAAGUGACGGUACCCAAGAGGAAGCCCCUGCUAACUACGUG